GCAACAGCUAGGGGUCAAGGUCUAGGUCAGGGGUGGCUGCUCCCCAUGAGGGAAGAAAGGCGAGUCCCUCCUGAAGAAGUGUCCCAAUCAGGCAGAGCCGUGUUUUCUGGAGAGACUCUUCACAGCUUUCCCAUCCCCCCUGGUGGCCGUGACAGCCGGGCCUGAGGCCGGUGGACCUGGAGGGCGGUCACUGCAGUGAGAUCUGGCCUCAGUGUCUCCACCGGGACCUCAGGACCCACCACCACCUGCCGAGCUGCACCUUCCCUCCAAGGGGGGCAGCGGGAGGGGACGGUGAUGCUAUCUGCACCACCCUGCUCCUGGCUGCCGGGGCCGUUUGCCCCCAUCAUACACUGUCAGAUUCAGCGGAGCAGGGCGGGCCCAGGACGCUUGUGUGCUGACUCCACUGUGUGUGUCUGCGUGCUCGGGGCUCCGGGGAGGGGUGUUUCUGAGACCUCCCGGGUGCCUCAUCUUCCUCUCUCCCUGGGCCCGGCCUGGAUGCGGAUUGCUGUGCUCCUCAUGGACCAGAUUGACAUUCACAGCAACCUGGUCUCCAUAGCAACCUACCGUGACAUCGCAAGGAGCCUAGGACCCUUCGCUGGCAGAGGAAGGAUGAAGAAAUUAACUCCCACUUUCCUCAGCUGGGCAACAAGGAUGACAGAGGCCUUUCUUACAGAGGGAUGCUCACGUGCCGGGCAGUUUUGGGGUGCCUCGUGUGGAUUUGCUCAUUUACGUCAAAACAACCCAAUAAAUUAUUUUCCUCUUAGUACUCCCCCUUUUAUAAGCAGAGGAAAAUGAAGCUCAGCAAAGGAUCUGAACCCAGACAGGCUGGCUCAAGAGCCCGUCUUCACAGCCUCCCAGGCGCCCAG
rnacentral:lncRNA from 1 species